UACGAGGGGGGCAAGCGUUGUUCGGAAUUAUUGGGCGUAAAGGGCGCGUAGGCGGUGCGGUAAGUCGGGUGUGAAAUUUCGGAGCUUAACUCCGAAACUGCAUUCGAUACUGCCGUGCUUGAGGACUGGAGAGGAGACUGGAAUUUACGGUGUAGCAGUGAAAUGCGUAGAGAUCGUAAGGAAGACCAGUGGCGAAGGCGGGUCUCUGGACAGUUCCUGACACUGAGGCACGAAGGCCAGGGGAGCAAACGGG
rnacentral:rRNA from 1 species